rnacentral:rRNA from 1 species
GACGAACGCUGGCGGCGUGCUUAACACAUGCAAGUCGAACGGAAAGGCCCUGCUUUUGUGGGGUGCUCGAGUGGCGAACGGGUGAGUAACACGUGAGUAACCUGCCCUUGACUUUGGGAUAACUUCAGGAAACUGGGGCUAAUACCGGAUAGGAGCUCCUGCUGCAUGGUGGGGGUUGGAAAGUUUCGGCGGUUGGGGAUGGACUCGCGGCUUAUCAGCUUGUUGGUGGGGUAGUGGCUUACCAAGGCUUUGACGGGUAGCCGGCCUGAGAGGGUGACCGGCCACAUUGGGACUGAGAUACGGCCCGGACUCCUACGGGAGGCAGCAGUGGGGAAUAUUGCACAAUGGGCGGAAGCCUGAUGCAGCAACGCCGCGUGCGGGAUGACGGCCUUCGGGUUGUAAACCGCUUUCGCCUGUGACGAAGCGUGAGUGACGGUAAUGGGUAAAGAAGCACCGGCUAACUACGUGCCAGCAGCCGCGGUGAUACGUAGGGUGCGAGCGUUGUCCGGAUUUAUUGGGCGUAAAGGGCUCGUAGGUGGUUGAUCGCGUCGGAAGUGUAAUCUUGGGGCUUAACCCUGAGCGUGCUUUCGAUACGGGUUGACUUGAGGAAGGUAGGGGAGAAUGGAAUUCCUGGUGGAGCGGUGGAAUGCGCAGAUAUCAGGAGGAACACCAGUGGCGAAGGCGGUUCUCUGGGCCUUUCCUGACGCUGAGGAGCGAAAGCGUGGGGAGCGAACAGGCUUAGAUACCCUGGUAGUCCACGCUGUAAACGGUGGGUACUAGGUGUGGGGUCCAUUCCACGGGUUCCGUGCCGUAGCUAACGCUUUAAGUACCCCGCCUGGGGAGUACGGCCGCAAGGCUAAAACUCAAAGGAAUUGACGGGGCCCCGCACAAGCGGCGGAGCAUGCGGAUUAAUUCGAUGCAACGCGUAGAACCUUACCUGGGUUUGACAUGGAUCGGGAGCGCUCAGAGAUGGGUGUGCCUCUUUUGGGGUCGGUUCACAGGUGAUGCAUGGCUGUCGUCAGCUCGUGUCGUGAGAUGUUGGGUUAAGUCCCGCAACGAGCGCAACCCUUGUUCACUGUUGCCAGCACGUUAUGGUGGGGACUCAGUGGAGACCGCCGGGGUCAACUCGGAGGAAGGUGGGGAUGACGUCAAGUCAUCAUGCCCCUUAUGUCCAGGGCUUCACGCAUGCUACAAUGGCUGGUACAGAGAGUGGCGAGCCUGUGAGGGUGAGCGAAUCUCGGAAAGCCGGUCUCAGUUCGGAUUGGGGUCUGCAACUCGACCUCAUGAAGUCGGAGUCGCUAGUAAUCGCAGAUCAGCAACGCUGCGGUGAAUACGUUCCCGGGGCU